CCUACGGGUGGCAGCAGUGAGGAAUAUUGGUCAAUGGACGGAAGUCUGAACCAGCCAUGCCGCGUGCGGGAAGACGGUUCUAUGAGUUGUAAACUUCUUUUGUACAAGGAUAAACCCGAAUACGUGUCUUCGGCUGAGAGUACCGUACGAAUAAGCAUCGGCUAACUCCGUGCCAGCAGCCGCGGUAAUACGGAGGAUCCGAGCGUUAUCCGGAUUUAUUGGGUUUAAAGGGUGCGUAGAGGGGUGGUUAAGUCAGUUGUGAAAGUUCGGGGCUCAACCCUAAAAGUGCAGUUGAUACUGGCAGUCUUGAGUAGAGGUGAGGUACGCGGAAUUCGCGGUGUAGCGGUGAAAUGCUUAGAUAUCACGCAGAACCCCGAUUGCGAAGGCAGCGUACUA
rnacentral:rRNA from 1 species